rnacentral:rRNA from 1 species
UACGAAGGGGGCUAGCGUUGUUCGGAUUUACUGGGCGUAAAGCGCACGUAGGCGGAUCGUUAAGUCAGGGGUGAAAUCCUGGGGCUCAACCCCAGAACUGCCUUUGAUACUGGCGAUCUUGAGUCCGGGAGAGGUGAGUGGAACUCCGAGUGUAGAGGUGAAAUUCGUAGAUAUUCGGAAGAACACCAGUGGCGAAGGCGGCUCACUGGCCCGGUACUGACGCUGAGAUACGAAAGCGUGGGGAGCAAACAGG